rnacentral:tRNA from 1 species
AAGUAAGAAGCAUUUACAUGCACCCAGUUUCGACCUGGGAUAUUGGCCUCUCCACUUACUUU